ACAUAAUAAACCACUUUAUUUUUUCUCUCUUUUUCUCUCUCUUUCAUUUCAUAGUCUCUCUUUCUCCUUCUCAGAAAUCUCAUCUUUCCUCUCAUAUCACUAACCCUAAACCCUCUUCUUUCUUCUCAUUCUACUUCUUCUUUCAAGUAACCAAAAUCUUUUAUAGUUUUUCUCUCACAUAUAAAUUUUGUUGUUGUUAUUGAGUGCUAAAUCUAUUUUUUAUUUGAUUUGCAGUUUCUAUUACAUAUAUUUGAACUUCAUUUGGGGCUACAGAUGCAUUCAAGUAACAGAUCUGAAAGGGAUUUGAACAAAUAUUCCUCUCUAUUCUUGGUCAAGCAUGUUCUGACAAUGAAGGAGGUUGAUUCAAAAGAAGAUAAAAAGAUUGAUAUGGAAGACUGGAAAGAUUAUAUGGCAAAAAAUUAUUCUCUUUUAAGAUUGAUAGUUAAUUUUAAAUAUUAUAUGAUAGAUGUAUCUAAAAUUAAAUAAAUAAUCAUACAUACUUAUUUUA